ACAAAAUUAAUGUCAAAGUGGAUCAAAAAGACAUUGGAUCAGAUGGAAGAGAGGCCCAAAAGAAAUUGGACGAACAAGGCUAGCCCACAAGCANNNNNNNNNNNNNNNNNNNNNNNNNNNNNNCCGCCACGUAGUGCUUCCUUCCUACUUUCACGGGCACGUUUCACACGGCUUUAUCCUCAACUCAACUGCUCCUCAGAUUUCGGUGCUCCUCAGAUUUCGGUGGAAGCAACUAAGAUAUGAACGUUUCUUAUAACGGAACGACGAUUUAGAAGGAGAUAUUUCUAUUUCAUGAAGACUAUAAAUAGAGAACACUAGUCAGUGUUUUUCACACAUGAUUCUACGCAGACUUAAGAGAAAAAUUUAGUUUAAAAUUUUAGUUGUUAAGUGUUUUAGUUUACGGAGCAAAAAGGUGUGGUGCUGCUGCUUACACUUCCAGUUCCAGCUUCAAUCAGUCUUUGAUUUCCUUUGUUCCGGUGUACUUGUACUAGUUUCACUAGUAUUUGUAAGUUUUAAUAACAGUACUUUUAUUUUAUUCAGUUUGAAUAUUCAGAUUUAUGCUUUGAUAUAAUUACCAAUUCAAGUUUAAUUUUAUUAUAUUCCAGUUUGAUAUUCGUAUGCUCUGU
rnacentral:lncRNA from 1 species